AUCAUAUCUGCAACUUCAUGGUUCCUAGUCGGAUUCGUUAACCACUGAGCCACAACGGGACGCCAUGGGGUCUUGUUUUUCAACUUUGCAUUCAUCAUUGUCUUUCCCUCAAAGUAGCUCUCUUUUCAAGUCCCUUUUAGAAUGACACUAGUUUAAAACCUCUGAAACCUUAUGUCUGGUAAUUGUCUUUGCAAUAUUUUCUUCUUCAUGACUUAGACCCAAUGUCACAGAGUCCUGCCAAUUUUAUGUUCAAGUGACUCAAAUAAUUAAAACAACGAAAACAACAAAAAUUUUCUCCUGCAGGCCUUGUUUUAAUUCAAGAGCUCUUUCUACUGCCUUUUAAUUAAUCUCCCUACUUAUAUUCUUUGCUCAAUUAGACUAGUACUACAUUCUGUUGACAGAUCUAUUUCUCUCAAUACCUGUGUUCAAGUUUCACUAUGCUUCUAAAACCUUCAGUCAUCCCGUCAUGCACAAGAUAAAAUCUAAAUCCUCGAGUCUAAUGUUCAAAGCCUGUCAUAAUCCCUCCUUGCUACCUUUUCACACAUAUUUCCCCAAAUUCCUUCUCACUAGUUGAAAAUCUUUUCUAUCCAUAAAACACACCGUGUCAUCUACUUUCAAUACAAAUUGACUUCCCAUCUUCCCAUCUCUCUUCCCCAGAUACUGCUUUUUUCUUUUUUUGAAAAAUUAGCAAGUAUCACUGAUCUUUUAACUCUUCUGUGUUAAUGGAUCUGUUAAACAUUUAUUAUGUGGUAGGGCUGGAGGUAUUUCAAAAUUAAUUUAUUACCUGGCUUCUUCAAGGGUCUUUUGGUAUAGUUAGGAUAACAGGGAAAUUCAGAAUUCAGUGUUAAUGACCUGCUUCAGUCUAUAAAUUUUCAGUAAUUGGAGACAUAACAGUUUAGUAUGUGUUAUAUAUUGUAUGAGCUUCUUCUUUGUUUUUCAAAAUAUUAUUAUUGUUGUUAUUAUUGGCCUCUGUGUGCAGCAGCUUGAUGUGGGAUCUCAGUUCCCAGACUAAGGACUGAACCUGGGCCAUGCAAUGCAAGCUCUGAAUCCUAACCCCUAGACCACCAGGGAACAGCCUAAAGUUAUAUUUUAAGCUGCUGAAAGGACAGGUGCUGCCUUCUGCAUGUGUGACUAUGUGUUUCUAGAUUUCUUUGUAAUGUUGGAGAGGUGCUUGAGAAAAAUGGAUUGCAUGAACUUUUAGAGUGGGAAGGAGGUGUUUUUCUCUUGCCACAGAGCUUAGGCAAAUUAAAAAUCCAUACUUCUCACAAAAAUGGUCUUAGAGCGAGGUAAGCAACUGCAAAUGCCUGUGGAAGCCAGGCAUAACAUGAGCGGGUGAACUGGCAGGUUGGAAAGUGAAGACAGGUCUCAUUGGUGGGUGGUGGCCUUUUCCAAAGGGGGCAUCUCUUGGCCAGCAGGAACUAUUGUUGCCACAGUCAAGUCCAAUGAUGCCUGAUCUAAUUUUUCAAGAGGAGAUGGACAAAUUCCAUACCAGGAAAAGCUGAAUUUGUCCUAUAGUCUGCUAGUUUGUAAUCUUGGCCCUAUAGGGACUUUUUUUUUGCUGUUGAUGUGAUGAUAGUAGAAUUCUCCCAUUGGACGUAGUCAAGGUUGGUAGAUGAUCAGUUAGUUAGAAAAGACAGUCAAAUUAGCAAAGCAUAAACAAAUCAUUGACCUGUAUAAUGAAAUUCUUAUAGUAAUACAUGAUGGUGCCCACACUAAAUAUUUUAUGCUAGCUUAGAACAUGUCAAUUAAAUUCUUUCACCUAUCUUUUUAUGUGGGGGUAAUAAGGCCUUUUUGCUGGGUGUGAGUUCACUGAUUGGAUUGCUAAAUUAUUCUUCCUAGGUAGACCACACAUUGUCCUCCAUUUCUAGCUCCCAUUUCUGCAAGCAGUGUGAGAAAAAUUUAGAGGCAGAAUCCUUCUAAAUUUCUGUGACAUUCUUCCAACUUUCAUAUUGUCUUGUCCCCAAAGGAGAUUGCUUUAUUUUUAGCAACUCACUUUUAACCAAAGCAUUAACCAAAGCAUUUGUUAGAAGCAAUUCUCUUUUCACACGCCCCGUUCAUCAGUUUACAAGAUAAUUAAUCUGUAUAAUUGCAAUGUAAAAUAAGUCAAGCAUAAACAAGUUUGGGAACAAAUGAAACUGACUCCUGGCAACCAGUUAAUUGAACUCAGGGGGCAGGAAGGCUCAGAAGUACAGAGAUGAGCCUUCUGGUCACAUGAUGUGGCGGGUUGUGGACAGCGAUGGUUGUUUCCAGGGAAGAGUAGAGAGCAUGGAUAAAUCCCAUCACUUGAUGAAGUGAGGGGCAAUUAAGUGAGCAACAUGGCAUAUCCAGCAUUGCCGUUCAUUGUGCUGACUUGUUGCAUAGGCCCACGGUGUGAAACUCAGGUUAGCACAGCAUCCAUUGCCAUCUGUGAAUCACGGGGUGUUCCAGAGCUAGGUUCCGUAGGCUGUGAUAAAUGCUUUUGGUGACUCUCAUGGGGGGUGGGGGUAGGGUUUAAUUCUAAACCUGUGACCAUACAUUUGCUUCCAAAGAGGUUGGGUAGGAAGCAUUCUUAUACUCUGAGAACUAAAAUAUUUUAGUGCAACCUUGCUCUUGGCAGGUAUAACAAACCAUGUUUUGGAAAGAGAUAACCUGUGCAAGGAUUACAAGAGCAGAGAGAUUUCCACAGUUCAAGUUGCUGCUUUAAGGACAUAAACUUCUGUUUGCUCACCCAGAAGUUUUCCCUCACUUUUUUCCUCAGCGCUUACAUGGAGCAAUUCUUUAUGACCACAGAAAAAAUGGCUCACACUCAGAUUAGAAUUUAGAUUUUUCUUUGUCCUUGUAAAGCAGUUCGUGUUCUUGGAAGGAAUCUAAAAAUAUCCCGUUUGCUUCUCCCCUUCACGCUCAUUAUUUUUAACCUCUUGUGGAUGAUUGUUAUUCUGCACACAGUGGGCUGAAUACAUUAAAUCUUAAAGGCAUUGCUUGUGCUCACAAACAUUAUGUGCACUUACUUUUUAAAUAAAGGAUACAUUUGAAUUGCAGAAUGGCAAAAAAGGUUAAUGUUCAGCUAAAAGACUAGUUGUUUUUAAAAAUACUUGUGGCAAACUGACCUUUCCUACUGGUUUAAUAAUUUCCAAAAGCAACAAUAAAUGGUAGGCAUUUUAACACUCUAUCACUAGCAAGCAUUUACAAAGCAUCUGUCAAGUGAGACAUCUUCCCUCAGGGAGUGCCCGGUGUUACUGCAAAUGAUUUGCCAUCUUCCUAUUGAAGUUUGUUCAUCUUCUCUUUUUCUGGAAUCCAUUCCAGAUUCCCAGAGUUGAAUCGUUUCUGUGGACUCUGGAAUCUGCAUGUGUAUCGAAAUGUGUUGAUAAUUUCUACCUAGAGUGAUAUUGAGAACAGACACUCUCAGCAUUUUCCCGCCCUAGAGAAAUUAUAAAUUAUAUCCUUCCAGGAGUAGGCCCAGAGUAGGGGUUAAAAUCUGGCAAGAGGGCAAGUAAACUUUUUGUAAGGUGAGAACUCACACUGAAGUCUUGGCCUUUCUAUCUGUUAGACUUUGGAAAUUUGCACCAGUCAUACGGAGAAAUGGCUUCUAAUACACCCGGAGUACAGCUAAGCAGGAGGUUGGUGACGGGAUAUUUAGAAAUUAACAGAUUCAACCAAGAGUGUUACUAAGGUCAAAAUAAGCAAGAAGCAGGCGGGAUCCCUCAGUGCAGGGAUGCAAUACAGCAGAAGCCAUAGAUGACUUUGCAGAUGGGUUAAACCUCUAGGCAACAGAUACCUGCAUAGUUCAUUUGGACCAAGAGAUCUCACUACAGACCGGAUUUGAGCAGAGUAUGGCUUAUACCUUUCCCCUCCAAUCAUCCUCAGGCUUCAGACAAGGAAAUGGACCUUUGAGCGAACAAGCAGCUAACUGGUAAAGGGCAUUCCUGAUAUCACUUCUUUUCAUUUCAUUGUGACAACUGCGGACUCUAAGAUCCAAGUGUAUCAGUAACACGUAUUCAUUUAUUGUUUCUAUGUGGUAUGAGAAGAAACAGAAGUCUCAUCUUCUUAGCUUGCUCCAUGAUACAAAAUCUUCACACCAGCAACUCCUCACCCAUGAACACAGACCAUGUUGAAAAUCUGUCUGGCCAGGUGGGCUGCUCCUCUAGCUGAAGGAUGGGGUCCUUGUUGCCCAGCUUUUCCCAUAUGCAACCCAUUCCCCUGUAGAGAGUGUGGAGCACAGUCAUAGGCACUUAAUGCACCUUAACUGGAACUGAUGAAUGUCUCACUUGUGUCUGAGGUGAUACGUGGAAAGCUUUUGGUACUAAGGAUGCAGUGGUGAAGAAAGUGCUGCUCCUGUUUUGGGUGUUAAGUGAGCUUUCCUGUGCACUCGACCAGAUAAUGCUGCCAGGGUUUCUGUACGUGACAUCAAGAUUGGAAGCCCUGAAGCUGGAGUCUUGGACAUGUCAGUGUCCCAUCUGGGAGAGGGUGAUCUCUUACGGCACGCUUCCUCUUCCCACCUCCUUACCAAGACAUUCAUCACCACAUGCAUUCUUGACAUCCCACCCCCUCCAAGAAGCUGCAUGGUUUGGGGACAGUGAUGUUCUCUGCUGAAAUAAUGAUUUCCUGUCUCCUUUUCUGCUGGUGGUGGACUUGGGGAAUAUCUCAUCAAUAGGGCUCUUGGAUUCAGGUAUGGGGACCUCUGCCCUGAGCUCCACACCUCAGAAGACCCACAUACCACAAACAGAAACCAAAGAAGUGAUUAAGGAUGCAAAUGCCUCCAUCACUUAGGAUGUGUCCUUGAGCUUGGACAUAUCCUAAACUUCUGCUCUCCGGACCUACCCUCGUCAGGUCCAGGAAAUUGGAAGUGUUUCACAUCUUUUGUCUUCUGUAUGCAAAGCAAAAGCCAGGUAACAUAAAUGCUGGGAAGCAUAGUGUGUCAUGCUGCAGACUUUAGAAAAGAUCUUGAUUUGAAAUCAGAGAGGAUGUAAGCGUCAGGGGAGCUUAGACAAGAAACAAAGAUACAUCGAUUUGUCAAAUUCUCCCUCUCAUAUGCAUGAAUGAAUGAGAUUCUUCUAUAAUAAAGGAUCAUUUUCGAGUA